rnacentral:rRNA from 1 species
UUAUUGGAGAGUUUGAUCCUGGCUCAGGAUGAACGCUGGCGGCGUGCCUAAUACAUGCAAGUCGAGCGAAUGGAUUAAGAGCUUGCUCUUAUGAAGUUAGCGGCGGACGGGUGAGUAACACGUGGGUAACCUGCCCAUAAGACUGGGAUAACUCCGGGAAACCGGGGCUAAUACCGGAUAACAUUUUGAACCGCAUGGUUCGAAAUUGAAAGGCGGCUUCGGCUGUCACUUAUGGAUGGACCCGCGUCGCAUUAGCUAGUUGGUGAGGUAACGGCUCACCAAGGCAACGAUGCGUAGCCGACCUGAGAGGGUGAUCGGCCACACUGGGACUGAGACACGGCCCAGACUCCUACGGGAGGCAGCAGUAGGGAAUCUUCCGCAAUGGACGAAA